GGAUGUUGAAAAAGAUAGUAGAAGGUGCCGGAACUGCACCACCAUAGAAGGUGAUAGUCCUGUAAGCGAAAUUUUUUUCUACGCCUUGUCUGUUCCUGAGUACCAUGGGGCACGAUUAAACCCUGUGGGAAGCCGGGGCGACCAAGCUCCAAAGCUAAAUAUCAGCACUUACCGAUAGUGAACUAGUACCGUGAGGGAAAGGUGAAAAGCACCCCGGGAGGGGGAUGAAAUAGUACCUGAAACUAAUGGCUAACAAGCAGUGAAGGCUUGUGCAUGGCACAAGGCUAAAUUUCUAAUUUCUAAUUAUUCUAAUUUCUAAUCAAGCACCAAUUUUUUAAAGUGUCCAAUUGAUUAGAUCAAUUAGUAAUUAGGUCAAUUAGGUUAAUUUAUCCUCGUGCUGUGCACGAGUGAUCACGUGCCUAUUGAAGAAUGAGCCAGUGAGUUUUUGUUGCCUUCAAGUCUAAGUCGUAUUGCGACGGAGGCGAAGUGAAAGCGAGCCCUAACUGGGCUAUUUAGAAGGUUACAGAAGACCCGAAACCAGGUGAGCUAACCAUGAGCAGGGUGAAUGCCGAUGAAAAUCGGCAGGAGGCCCGAACCCGUUGAUGUAGCAAUAUCAUGGGAUGACUUGUGGUUAGGGGUAAUAUGCCAAUCGAACUUGGAGAUAGCUGGUUCUCCCUGAAAUAUAUUUAGGUAUAGCCUUUAUUUGAUAAAUGUUGGGGGUAGAGCACUGAAUGGUAUCUGGAGAGGAAACUCUUCAGGAUCAAUCAAACUCCGAAUACCAACAUUUUGGAAUAGAGAGUCAGUCCUGCGGCGCUAAGGUCGUGGGUCGAGAGGGAAACAACCCAGACUCCCGUUUAAGGCCUCUAAAUUCAAGCUAAGUUGUUAAGAAAGUCAUGAUCCUCAGACACCUAGGAGGUUGGCUCAGAAGCAGCCAUCCUUUAAAGAAAGCGUAACAGCUCACUAGUCGAUUUGGGAUUGUGGCGUCGAAAAUGAUCGAGGAUUAAGCUUGAUGCCGAAGACGGAGGUGUUCCGGUUUUACGACCGGAAUGCAGUAAGGGAGCGUCCCGCCAGCUUUGAAGGUGAGCCGUAAGGCUUGCUGGAGUAGGCGGGAGUGAGAAUGCUGGCAUGAGUAGCGAUUAUUCCGAUGAGAAAUCGGAACGCCGAAAGUCUAAGGUUUCCUUCGCAAUGUAAGUCAGCGAAGGGUUAGUCGGCUCCUAACGGUGGCCCGUGUGAAACGCGGGGUAGCCGGAUGGACGAGUCGUUAAAAUUCGACUACAGGUUUUGAUGCGUUUACCCCCGCAAGGGGGUUAUCACCUGGGGAUUAACCAGGGUGGAAGAGAUCGCCCCGCUUGCGGGGUUUAAGCCAUAAAAUAGUUUUGAUAGGGAAAUCCGUCAGAAUGUUAAAUUGAGUGGCGAGUACGAGUUUGAAAGGGAAACUGAGUAGGACGAGGAUCUAUCUUUCAGCCUGCGAGAAAAGAUUCACAGGGAGUGUCAAGUCUUGCCGUACCGCAUUACCGACACAGGUAGACUGGUGGAGAACACCAAGGCGAUCGGGAGAAGAAUGUUCAAGGAACUCGGCAAAAAAGCUGGGCGUAACCUUUGGGAGAUGCCCUGCCAGGUACCAGCCGGUAUCCUGGCCGCAGCGAAAGUUUGCUUAGCGACUGUUUAUCUAAAACACAGGUCCCUGCAAAGCCGAAAGGCAAAGUAUAGGGGCUGACACCUGCCCAGUGCUGGUAAGUCAAUGAUGGUGAGUGAAGCUCGUAAGAGUCAGCUCGUUAUCAAAGCUCCAGUGAACGGCAGCAGUAACUAUAACUGUUCUAUGGUAGCGAAGUUCCUUGUCGGGUGAGUUCCGACCCGCACGAAAGGUAGAACGACUGAGCAACUGUCUUGAACAUUUACCCGGCGAAAUUGAGAUGGCUGUGAAGACGCGGCCUGGUUGUCCUAGGACAAAAAGACCCCGGGAGCUUUACUGUAGCUUCGCAUUUGAAAGCUUUUUUCAACUGUCGAGAAUAGGAGGGACCCCGCCGCAAGGCGGGGGUCAGUGAAAUACCUCUCUUUGAAAUGGGUAAUCAUUAUUCUUAUCCCGCAUAAAAAUCCGGGAAGAAAACAGUGCGUGGUGGGCAGUUUAACUGGGGAGGUUGACUCCUAAAUUGCAACGGAGUUGUACAAAGGUUGGCUUAACGCGGAUGGAAAUCGCGUUGUAAGUGCAUAGGCAUAAGCCAGCUUGACUGUGAGACUCACAAGUCGAGCAGGUACGAAAGUAGGUCUAAGUGAUCCUGCGUUCCUUAUUGGUCGGGACGCAGCUUAACGGAUAAAAGCUACCCCGGGGAUACAAUUUACUGUGUCCGGGUCUUAUGGUAACAUAAGGCCAGGCAUACGGCUAAUAACGGUGGAGCCCUCUUGCUUUGGUUUUGGUCUUUUCCAUAAUCGAGGGAGGCAAAGGGUAAUACCGUGGGAAGUCUUCAGUUAUCGGUUCUCGGUUUUCAGUGUUCGGAAUCUGGUCUAUCAGUUUGCAGUUUAUCAGACUGACAAACAGACAACCGGUAAACGAAUAUCUGACAACCGACAACAGAAAACAGAUAACCGUCGACCCCGUAUCGACUGAUGUUCCAUUCAUGGAACUGAGAUAGAAGUUGUUUCUUGUUACAUUAACAAGAAAAUUUAUGACUUUUAUCACACGCCGUACUCCCGAUUUUAUCGGGAUGAAGAUAUAGUCAGUGCAGCAAGAAAUUGCUGAUUUGUCAUUCCGAUUUAAUCG
rnacentral:rRNA from 1 species